CGUUUGGGACUCUUGAAGUCUUAGUGGCGCAGCUAACGCACUAAGUAGACCGCCUGGGGAGUACGGCCGCAAGGUUAAAACUCAAAUGAAUUGACGGGGGCCCGCACAAGCGGUGGAGCAUGUGGUUUAAUUCGACGCAACGCGAAGAACCUUACCUGGCCUUGACAUGCAGAGAACUUUCCAGAGAUGGAUUGGUGCCUUCGGGAACUCUGACACAGGUGCUGCAUGGCCGUCGUCAGCUCGUGUCGUGAGAUGUUGGGUUAAGUCCCGUAACGAGCGCAACCCCUAUCCCUAGUUGCUAGCAGUUCGGCUGAGAACUCUAGGGAGACUGCCGGUGACAAACCGGAGGAAGGUGGGGAUGACGUCAGGUCAUCUUGGCCCUUACGGCCAGGGCUACACACGUGCUACAAUGGUGCGUACAGAGGGCUGCAAACCCGCGAGGGGGAGCUAAUCUCACAAAACGCAUCGUAGUCCGGAUCGGAGUCUGCAACUCGACUCCGUGAAGUCGGAAUCGCUAGUAAUCGCGAAUCAGAAUGUCGCGGUGAAUACGUUCCCGGGCCUUGUACACACCGCCCGUCACACCAUGGGAGUGGAUUGCACCAGAAGUGGUUAGUCUAACCUUCGGGAGGACG
rnacentral:rRNA from 1 species